rnacentral:rRNA from 1 species
AUUGAACGCUGGCGGCAGGCCUAACACAUGCAAGUCGAACGGUAGCACAGAGAGCUUGCUCUCGGGUGACGAGUGGCGGACGGGUGAGUAACGUCUGGGAAACUGCCCGCUGGAGGGGGAUAACUACUGGAAACGGUAGCUAAUACCGCAUAACGUCGCAAGACCAAAGUGGGGGACCUUCGGGCCUCACACCAUCGGAUGUGCCCAGAUGGGAUUAGCUAGUAGGUGGGGUAAUGGCUCACCUAGGCGACGAUCCCUAGCUGGUCUGAGAGGAUGACCAGCCACACUGGAACUGAGACACGGUCCAGACUCCUACGGGAGGCAGCAGUGGGGAAUAUUGCACAAUGGGCGCAAGCCUGAUGCAGCCAUGCCGCGUGUAUGAAGAAGGCCUUCGGGUUGUAAAGUACUUUCAGCGGGGAGGAAGGCGGUGAAGUUAAUAACUUCACCGAUUGACGUUACUCGCAGAAUAAGCACCGGCUAACUCUGUGCCAGCCGCCGCGGUAAUAC